rnacentral:ncRNA from 1 species
AAUGAGUUUUAUUCUUGCUUUAUUCGUUCAGUGUUGUUUUGUUUUAUAUGUAAGUUUUUGCGGGUUUGUUUGUUUUAUUUCUCGAUGGGGUAAUAUUGGGUUAUGGGUUAAUUCGCAUUAUUUAGUUUUAUAAAUCAUGGUUUCUUUGAUUUAGCAAUUAUUGGUAAUACCGGUUAAGUUUGUGCCAGCAGCCGCGGUUAUACAUAAGGUGUUAUUGAACGUUUUCGGUCUUGCAGUUUUAUUGUUUGUUGGUUUUGGGUUUCUAUAGGUGUUUCUAUUUGGGUGGAAUUUUUAUUUUUGUUAAUGCUCUUUUUGUUGUUGUAGGCUGUGAAAUCUUUUUUUAAACUAGGAUUAGAUACCCUAUUAUUUUUGAUGUUAAUUUUGUUUACCUGGGUAGUGUUAGUUGUGUUCUUUAAACCCAAAGAAUUUGGCGGUAUUUUUUUUUACCUUUUAGAGGAAUCUGCUCCGUUAUCGAUAGUCCGCGUUGGACCUUACUUGAUUUUUGUUUGUAUACCGCCGUUGUAGUGAGGAUCUUUUUAGUGUUUUAAUUUUCUGGUUUCAUUAUUUUGAUUUAUUUCAGGUCAAGGUGCAAUUUGUUUUUAAGUGUGAGGUGGAUUACAGUAGUGUUUUUGGUUUUGGAUUGUUGGGUGUAAUCUUGGCAGGAAAUUGGAUUUAAUUGUAAUUGGUUGUAGAUUGUUUCGAUGAUUUUGGUUCUGUAAUAUGCACACAUCGCCCGUCGCUCUCAUAAGAUUGUUGAGAUAAGUCGUAACAUAGUGGUCGUACCGGAAGGUGUGGCUGGGUUGAU